rnacentral:lncRNA from 1 species
CUAAUUAUUAAGUGAUUUAUCUGAUUUUAAUGGAAGUGUUCCAUAAGAAAUAAACCUCCUCCAUGCCAAAACCACGUGCCAAAAUAAUUCCACACCCCAUUUAUUUUUGGCAUUAAGAGGAAAAGUCCUUCUCACUUACUCCUCUUAAAUUUCUUACUUUAUUUCCAUGCGUUCCUUUAUUUUCACACGUCAUAUGAUGACUCUUGAGAUAUAUGGGCACAGA